GGAAGGCUCAUCUCAGCAGGGAGGAGGGAGCAGAGGAACGAAACAGCACACAGACUGAGACAAAGCUAUCCAUCUCUGAUAGCAUGGAGGGGAGCCUCAUCAGUGCAACACAAUGUGAUUUUUCCUGCUGGGAAGGCAGAGAAAUGAAGAUCACCAUUCUGCUGUGUCAGAAAAUGAGAAUCUCCAGCAUCUCCAUCCUCGCCAUUGUCAGAUGCGAAUCGCUGAAUUUUCUUUCAGCAGACGGUUGUCCCUAAUUUGCUCUGGAACCCAG